AUUGAACGCUGGCGGCAUGCCUAACACAUGCAAGUCGAGCGCGCCGCGGACGGGUGAGUAAUGUAUGGGGAUCUGCCCUAUAGAUGGGGAUAACUACUGGAAACGGUGGCUAAUACCGCAUACUUUCGGCUGAACCCAUAUUGGAUUAGCUAGUAGGUGGGGUAAAGGCUCACCUAGGCGACGAUCUCUAGCUGGUCUGAGAGGAUGAUCAGCCACACUGGGACUGAGACACGGCCCAGACUCCUACGGGAGGCAGCAGUGGGGAAUAUUGCGCAAUGGGCGAAAGCCUGAUGCAGCCAUGCCGCGUGUAUGAAGAAGGCCUUAGGGUUGUAAAGUACUUUCAGCGGGGAGGCGUUACCCGAAGAAGAAGCACCGGCUAACUCCGUGCCAGCCGCCGCGGUAAUAC
rnacentral:rRNA from 1 species